GAUGAACGCAGGCGGCGUGCCUAACACAUGCAAGUCGAACGAACUGAUUCGCGAUUCUUCGGAUGAGCGGAGAGGUUAGUGGCGAACGGGUGAGUAACACGUAGGUGACCUGCCCCGAAGUGGAGGAUAACCACCCGAAAGGGUGGCUAAUACUCCAUGUGCUCCGUGGAGCUAGAAGCCACGGAGCAAAGCUCCGGCGCUUUGGGAGGGGCCUGCGGCCCAUCAGGUAGUUGGUAGGGUAACGGCCUACCAAGCCAAUGACGGGUAGCUGGUCUGAGAGGACGAUCAGCCACACUGGCACUGAGAUACGGGCCAGACUCCUACGGGAGGCAGCAGUGGGGAAUAUUGCGCAAUGGGCGAAAGCCUGACGCAGCGACGCCGCGUGGGUGAUGAAGGCCUUCGGGUCGUAAAACCCUUUUCUGGGGGACGAGGAAGGACGGUACCCCAGGAAUAAGUCUCGGCUAACUACGUGCCAGCAGCCGCGGUAAAACGUAGGAGGCAAGCGUUAUCCGGAUUUACUGGGCGUAAAGCGCGCGCAGGCGGCUCUGUAAGUCGGGCGUGAAAGCCCCCGGCUCAACUGGGGGAGGUCGUUCGAUACUGCAGGGCUUGAGGUCGGGAGAGGGAAGCGGAAUUCCCGGUGUAGUGGUGAAAUACGUAGAUAUCGGGAGGAACACCAGUGGCGAAGGCGGCUUCCUGGCCCGCACCUGACGCUAAGGCGCGAAAGCGUGGGGAGCGAACGGGAUUAGAUACCCCGGUAGUCCACGCUGUAAACGAUGGCAACUAGGUGUGGGGGGUCAUUGACCCCCUCAGUGCCGAAGCUAACGCGAUAAGUUGCCCGCCUGGGGACUACGAGCGCAAGCUUA
rnacentral:rRNA from 1 species